GGCCAGACUCCUACGGGAGGCAGCAGUGAGGAAUAUUGGUCAAUGGGCGGAAGCCUGAACCAGCCAAGUCGCGUGAGGGAAGAAGGCCCUGCGGGUCGCAGACCUCUUUGGACGGGGAGCAAGGCCGCCGACGUGUCGGCGGAAGGAGAGUACCCGUAGAACAAGCAUCGGCUAACUCCGUGCCAGCAGCCGCGGUAAUACGGAGGAUGCGAGCGUUAUCCGGAUUUAUUGGGUUUAAAGGGUGCGUAGGCGGGCUUUUAAGUCAGCGGUAAAAAUUCGGGGCUCAACCCCGUCCGGCCGUUGAAACUGGGGGCCUUGAGUGGGCGAGAAGAAGGCGGAAUGCGUGGUGUAGCGGUGAAAUGCAUAGAUAUCACGCAGAACCCCGAUUGCGAAGGCAGCCUUCCGGCGCCCUACUGACGCUGAGGCACGAAAGUGCGGGGAUCGAACAGGAUUAGAUACCCCAGUA
rnacentral:rRNA from 1 species